CAUUUGCAAAUUCUCCCCACCAACCCACUCAUUGCAUCAUCAUUUGACAGGGUCCUUCUUUUUUAUUUGCUGGUUGUGCUGAAAAGAGGACCAACAGCUAUACGAGGACGAGGCCACGAGCUACACGAGGCAGAGGUUUUUUUACUUCUCUGCAAAAGUAUCUCGGCCUCGGCGUUUUUCAAAGGGGAGACCAGAUCAGAGGGGAGAAAUUGGGGGGACAGGAAAGAAGAGGAGGAGAAGGAAAGGAAUCGAAGACUAGAUCAAAGGGAGAAGAGGCUACAGAAAAGAAACCAAAAAAGAGGAUGGUAGGCAGAGAGAAAUUCUGACACAAAGGUGACCGUUGUAAACAAAGCUUCGAAAGGUUGUCAUUGUGAGGAAAGUUGCGUCGUCCAUUGAAGCUGUAAUGAGGACGUUGGCGUCGUGAGUAGAGGCAGCCUAGUGCAUUUAGGAAUCGUUUUCAAUGGUUGGUGCUACAGUUAAGGGAUUCUGGUUGAAGACUGUUGGUGCAGUGAGAUUCGUGCACAUUCUUUCGCUAUCGUGGUGUAGGGAGGCUGUUAUGGACGUAGGGUGUCGAGAAUCAUCCAUUUCGUGCUUUAGUGUAGGGAAGCUCUUGUGGUGUAGGGAAGCUCUUGUCGAGGGAGGGUUCCAGAAUCCCUGUAUCGUGGAGGUUGCAAAUUUUGAGUAUGUUGACGAGGCUGAAGCUGCAACAGAGGAGGCUGCCGACCAAAAAAGAGCAUUAGAAAAUGUGAACAGUUCGGAGAGAACACAUUGCUGAAAGGAGUUGUUAAGAGACAAGUAUAAGAGCAUAAAGUUGAGGAGUUUAAUGCCAUGGGAAAAGGGAAGCUUAACCAAAAGCUGAUAGUUUUUGUUGAGGGGGAUGACCUUGUUGGUUUGGAAGAUGUUAGCUUUGAUGAUAAUUAUGAAGCAGAGCUUACUGAUGGUGAUUCAAAUGGCGACGGUGUCAUGUGAAGUUUAUGUGAAUAUAAACCAGCAGAGAAUUGUACAUCAAGACUGCUUUUUUGAGAUAUUAUAAUAAUUACAUUACAGCUAAGACUUUUGGACAAUGAAUCAAAGUGCAGCUCCUGAAGUCCAAUCCUCUCCCUCUCUAUCUGCCCCAAAUGCAUUCGUUUUUAGUCAGCAUGCACUCCUGCACCUAUUCAGUCUCCAAAUACAUUUGUUUUUCAAUCAGCAGUUCAAGUUAAUGUAUCUAAAGUAAGUGUGCCACAUGAAAGAUGUAACAAAGAAGAAGAACCUUAGACAUCUCUGUCUUUAAUUUUUUGUAUUGAACAUCUUUGUUAGACAUCUUUGUCUUUAAUUUUUUGUAUUGAACAUCUUUGUUAGACAUCUUUGUCUUUAAUUUUUUGUAUUGAACAUCUUUGUUAGACAUCUUUGUCUUUAAUUUUU